GGGGGGAGGGGGCCAGGCAGCCGUUAGACAGCACAACCGAACCCAACACCGGGGCCCAACGGCAGGGGCUUGGGCAGGAGCAAGGUCCGAGGGCUGCCAGGUCCACGCUGCUUUUAUGAGCUGUAACACUCACCGCGAAGAUCUGCAGCUUCACUCCUGAGCCCAGCGAGACCACGAGCCCACCGGGAGGAACAAACAACUCCAGACGCGCUGCCUUAAGAGCUGUAACACUUGCCGUGAAGGUCUGCAGCUUCACUCCUGAGCCAGCGAGACCACGAACCCACCAGAAGGAAGAAACUCCGAACACAUCUCAACAUCAGAACGGACAGACUCCAGACGCACCACCUUAAGAGCUGUAACACUCACCGCGAGGUUCCGCGGCUUCAUUCUUGAAGUUCGUGAGCCACACAUCUCCCCACACCAAGCUCCUCCAUACAAGACCUCGGACUGCAUCACAGCUAUCAGCUUCCCAGUUUGCACAAUUCAUCAAGAAAUUAUGCGGGGUCACUGGCACAAAUGAUGAGGCAUCUCCUGGAAGCUUAACUUCUUAUCCAUCCCAUCUCUUGGACAGAUGAUGCCAGUUAAUUACUUUGAAUGCUCUGCUGCUAUGGUGAGCUGCACGUCUGGAGGCUUCACAGAGACACUGGGUGAAUCUAAAUGAUGAGUUUGAUGGUGACCUGGAGGUGAAACUGUGACUUCAUGAUGUUCUAGAGGCUGACCUGGGGUCUCCUGCUGGGUCAGAGAAGAUUCGACCUCCCCAGAAGACUCAGAAGGCUGAACUGGCUGCUGCUGCUCACUGAUGGAAAGUUCAUGCUCCAUAGGAGGAACUGGAGGCUCAAUUGGGGCCUCCUGUUGGGUUGCAGAAGGUUCCACCUCCUCUGGAAACUGAAUUGGGGUCUCCUGCUGGGUUUGGGAAGAUUCUGUCUCAUUGGUAGGCUCUGAAGUUAUGGUAACCUCCACAUCUGCAGGUUUAACUGUAAUGUUGGGCAAGUGAUAAUAAGCUUGAUCCUCACCUGGAGGUUGAACUGACACCUCAUGAUUCGGUAGAGUUAGACUCUCCAUAGAGGACUCUGGAGGCAGAGCUGGGGCCUCCUGCUGCAUUGAAGAAGGUUCUUCCUCAAGGAGCUGUGGAAGCUGUGCUGGGGCUUCUUGUUGGAGUGAAGAGGACUGGAUGUCUUCAAGGGUCUCUGGAUUUUGAGUUUCGGGCUCUAGAUGGAAUUGAGAAGGUCCAACUUGCUCAGAGGGCCCUGGAGGCUCAUCUGACUUCACCCGGAGUUCUGGAGGCAGGCUACCGGGAUACGGUGUAUCUGUACUGGAAUAUUCAUUCUGCAAAUUCUGUUUCUGAC
rnacentral:lncRNA from 1 species